rnacentral:rRNA from 1 species
UACGAAGGGGGCUAGCGUUGCUCGGAAUCACUGGGCGUAAAGGGUGCGUAGGCGGGUCUUUAAGUCAGGGGUGAAAUCCUGGAGCUCAACUCCAGAACUGCCUUUGAUACUGAGGAUCUCGAGUCCGGGAGAGGUGAGUGGAACUCCGAGUGUAGAGGUGAAAUUCGUAGAUAUUCGGAAGAACACCAGUGGCGAAGGCGGCUCACUGGCCCGGUACUGACGCUGAUGUGCGAAAGCGUGGGGAGCAAACAGG